rnacentral:rRNA from 1 species
UCAAGGAAGAAGAUUUGACGGUACCUGAUGAAUAAGCCACGGCUAAUUCCGUGCCCGCAGCCCCGGUAAUACGGGAGUGGCAAGCGUUAUCCGGAAUUAUUGGGGGUAAAGCGUCCGCAGGCGGUCUUGUAAGUUUGUCGUUAAAGCGUGGAGCUUAACUCCAUUUAAGCGAUGGAAACUGUAAGACUAGAGUGUGGUAGGGGCAGAGGGAAUUCCCGGUGUAGCGGUGAAAAGCGUAGAUAUCGG